CCUACGGGAGGCAGCAGUGAGGAAUAUUGGUCAAUGGGCGCGAGCCUGAACCAGCCAAGUCGCGUGAAGGAUGAAUGUCCUACGGGUUGUAAACUUCUUUUAUAAAGGAAUAAAGUGAGGCUCGUGUGCCUUUUUGUAUGUACUUUAUGAAUAAGGAUCGGCUAACUCCGUGCCAGCAGCCGCGGUAAUACGGAGGGUGCGAGCGUUAAUCGGAAUUACUGGGCGUAAAGGGCUCGUAGGCGGUAUGUCAAGUCAAGGGUGAAAUCCCCGCGCUCAACGUGGGAACUGCCUUUGAAACUGGCAGACUGGAGAGUGUGAGAGGAAAGUGGAAUUCGAGGUGUAGGAGUGAAAUGCGUAGAUAUCGGGAGGAACAUCAGUGGCGAAGGCGACUAACUGGCAGAGAUCUGACGCUGAGGAGCGAAAGCGUGGGUAGCAAACAGGAUUAGAUACCCGUGUAGUC
rnacentral:rRNA from 1 species